AUCCUUGUGUCCAGCAAUCUGAAAUACAAAAACAAAUAUGUAAAUAAACAAAAAUUGGAGAAAUAAACAAAAAUGGAGGAAAAAACAGAGAGAUGAUUUUCACCUCCUUCUUGAAUUCAUAAUAUGAAAAUGGAAAUGCACAUAAUGGAGAUAAGAGGUGAAAAAGUUAAGAAAAAGGUUUUUGCAUGUAAAUUGCAGACCAACAAACGCAAAGAGACUGUAGAUCGAGCAUUUCAAAUCAUAACAUAAGAAGGAAAAUAAGGGAUAGACCUAGGACAAUGUGGGGGGAAUUAGUGGAGAAGGGUUCAGCAGUGCUAGGCCUUCCUAAAGACAACCUAAAUAUAGUAGAACAAAGAAAAUUAAUCAUGCAGUGAUCUCCAACUAGAUUGGGAUUAAGGUUAGUUGAGUUCAACUUUCCAAAUAUAUUCAUAUGGAAUUAUGGAUCUCAUUAUUCAUCACGACAGAGUUGGACUUGGAGAAUCAAUCAGAACAAAACCAAUGCGGUGUACGCUUGUUCUAGUGAAUGUUGCAUGUCGGAGUGGGCAUGGGUUGACUGAGCUUGACAAAAUUUCAAGGCCUUAAGUUCAAC
rnacentral:misc_RNA from 1 species